rnacentral:piRNA from 1 species
UAGAAAUGAUGCUAAACAGAGGUCC